CAAUAGCGUAUAUUAAAGUUGUUGCAGUUAAAAAGCUCGUAGUUGGAUUUCGGUUGAGAACGGCCGGUCCGCCGUUUGGUGUGCACUGGCUGGUUUCAACUUCCUGUAGAGGACGUGCUCUGGCUUCACGGCUGGACGCGGAGUCUACGUGGUUACUUUGAAAAAAUUAGAGUGUUCAAAGCGGGCUUACGCUUGAAUAUUUCAGCAUGGAAUAACACUAUAGGACUCCUGUCCUAUUUCGUUGGUCUCGGGACGGGAGUAAUGAUUAAGAGGAACAGUUGGGGGCAUUCGUAUUUCAUUGUCAGAGGUGAAAUUCUUGGAUUUAUGAAAGACGAACUUCUGCGAAAGCAUUUGCCAAGGAUGUUUUCAUUAA
rnacentral:rRNA from 1 species